rnacentral:lncRNA from 1 species
CAUAUACUACACUGUUCCAGCUGCUUCUGUCUUCUGUCCCUCUAUCUACCUCUUCUUUCUCACUCAUUUCCUGUCUCUCCCUGUUGUUCCCCGUUUUCCUUCUUGCUCUCUACAAUUCCUCUGACUGCCCUGUCUCUAUCCCUCCCUCCCUAUUCCUCCUUCCUCUCUCUAUCCCUCCCUAUCUCUCUAUCCCUCCCUCCCUAUUCCUCCACCCCUCUCUCUAUCCCUCCCUAUCUCUCUAUCCCGCCCUCCCUAUUCCUCCGUCCCUCUCUCUAUCCCUCCCUAUCUCUCUAUUCCUCCUUCCCUGUCUCUAUCCCUCCCUCUCUCUCUCUCUAUUCCUCCUUCCCUGUCUCUAUCCCUCCCUCUCUCUCUCUCUAUUCCUCCGUCCCUGUCUCUAUCCCUCCCUCUCUCUCUCUCUAUCCCUCCCUAUCUCUCUAUUCCUCCGUCCCUCUCUCUAUCCCUCCCUCUCUCUCUCUCUAUUCCUCCGUCCCUGUCUCUAUCCCUCCCUCUCUCUCUCUCUCUCUCUAUUCCUCCGUCCCUGUCUCUAUCCCUCCCUCUCUCUCUAUUCCUCCGUCCCUGUCUCUAUCCCUCCCUCUCUCUCUCUCUAUCCCUCCCUAUCUCUCUAUUCCUCCGUCCCUCUCUCUAUCCCUCCCUCUCUCUCUAUUCCUACGUCCCUGUCUCUAUCCCUCCCUCUCUCUCUCUAUUCCUCCGUCCCUGUCUCUAUCCCUCCCUCUCUCUCUAUUCCUCCUUCCCUGUCUCUAUCCCUCCCUCUCUCUCUCUAUUCCUCCGUCCCUGUCUCUAUCCCUCCCUCUCUCUCUAUUCCUCCGUCCCUGUCUCUAUCCCUCCCUCUCUCUCUCUCUCUCUCUAUUCCUCCGUCCCUGUCUCUAUCCCUCCCUCUCUCUCUAUUCCUCCGUCCCUGUCUCUAUCCCUCCCUCUCUCUCUCUCUAUCCCUCCCUAUCUCUCUAUUCCUCCGUCCCUCUCUCUAUCCCUCCCUCUCUCUCUAUUCCUACGUCCCUGUCUCUAUCCCUCCCUCUCUCUCUCUAUUCCUCCAUCCCUGUCUCUAUCCCUCCCUCUCUCUCUAUUCCUCCUUCCCUGUCUCUAUCCCUCCCUCUCUCUCUCUCUAUUCCUCCGUCCCUGUCUCUAUCCCUCCCUCUCUCUCUAUUCCUCCGUCCCUGUCUCUAUCCCUCCCUCUCUCUCUCUAUUCCUCCGUCCCUGUCUCUAUCCCUCCCUCUCUCUAUUCCUCCGUCCCUGUCUCUAUCCCUCCCUCUCUCUCUCUCUCUAUUCCUCCUUCCCGGUCUCUGUCCUGAUAAGUUAUCAGCAGGCUCUAUUACAACGCAGUAUUUUGUCCCGCCCUGUAAUUUCCCGCAAUUUUCAUAA